AACGAGUAGGGAUGUGGGCAAUAACCCAAGUCUAGACCUACGUGUUAGGACUUAGGAGGAGUGUCGAGUAAUGGCUUUAUCAACAGUAGGCAUUGCUCUAACUCGCCACACUUCCAUUCUCCGUUCAUCGUCUCUCUGCGUUUCCCUUUCCCUUUCUACUUCUAUUCACUCUCUAUUCACUCUUCUCUCAUUCCCCUCUUCUCGUGCUCGUCAUCGAUUCAUUGCCAUGGCUUCAACGCCUCAAGAGAAGGUUACUGCUCCUUUCGGCUCUUGGAAAUCUCCGAUCACCGCCGAUGUUAUUUCCAGCGGAGAGAAGCGUCUCGGUGGAAUCACUGCUGAUGGUCAUGGUCGUCUUCUUUUGCUUGAAUCUCGUCCUACUGAAGGAGGACGAGGCGUCCUCAUCAGAGAAGCUGAUAACUUGGGAACGUUACCAGUUGACAUAACUCCAAAAGACUAUUCUGUUCGCACACUUGCUCAGGAAUAUGGAGGUGGUGCUUUUACAGUUUCUGAAAAUACUGUGGUGUUUUCAAACUACAAGGAUCAAAGACUCUAUUUACAAUCAAUGGAAUUUGCCGAUUCUUCUGCCUCUCCAAUUACUCCAGAUUAUGGUGGGCCAACAGUUUGCUUUGCAGAUGGAGUAUUUGAUCCUCGCUUUCCUCGCUUCAUCACUGUUAUGGAAGAUCAACGUCUGAGUCACUUGAAUCCAACAACCUCAAUUGCAACAAUUAGCCUCGGAGCUGGUGAUGUGCAAGAACCUAAAAUUCUGGUAAGUGGGAAUGAUUUCUAUGCUUUCCCACGCAUGGAUUCGAAAGGGCAGAAAAUGGCUUGGAUUGAAUGGGGCCAUCCCAACAUGCCAUGGGAUAGAUCUGAGCUUUGGGUUGGAUAUAUAUCUGAAAAUGGAGAUGUCUACAAACGUAUAUGUGUUGCUGGUGGGGAUCCCAAUGUGGUUGAGUCUCCAACUGAGCCCAAGUGGACACCUAAAGGUGAUCUACUGUUCAUUACUGACAGGAAUAAUGGAUUUUGGAAUCUCUAUAAAUGGAUUGAAUCUAAAAAUGAAGUUAUUGCUCUGUACUCUAUGGAAGCGGAAUUCGCAAGGCCCUUGUGGGUUUUUGGAAUGAAUUCUUAUGAAGUCAUUGAGAGUCGUGAUCGUAAGAACCUGAUUGCCUGUAGCUAUAGGAUGAAAGGAAGAUCAUUUAUUGGGGUCCUUGAUGAUGCCCAGAGCUCGUUUUCCCUUCUGGACAUUCCUUUUACAGAUAUAAGCAACAUCGCAUUAGGUGCCAAUUGCUUGUAUAUUGAGGGAGCAUCUGCAUUUCAUCCAUUGUCAGUGGCAAAGGUGGCCUUGGAUGAGCAGAAACUAAAAGCAGUUGAUUUUAACAUUUUGUGGUCGUCUUCACCCGAAAGUUUGAAGUAUGAAUCAUAUUUUGGCUUGCCGGAAUUAAUUGAGUUCCCUACAGUGGUACCAGGGCAAAAUGCUUAUGCAUAUUAUUAUCCUCCCACUAACCCUGCAUAUAAAGCUGGUCCAGGGGAAAAACCUCCACUGUUGUUGAAAAGUCACGGAGGACCCACUGCAGAAACUCGUGGAAUCCUCAAUCUUAGCAUUCAAUACUGGACCAGUCGUGGUUGGGCAUUUGUAGAUGUAAAUUAUGGUGGCAGUACAGGUUAUGGAAGAGAAUAUCGAGAACGUCUGUUGGGGAACUGGGGAAUUGUUGAUGUCAAUGAUUGUUGCAGUUGUGCUAAAUUUCUUGUAGACAAUGGCAAGGUCGAUGGUGAUCGACUUUGUAUAACUGGGGGUUCUGCUGGCGGAUAUACAACAUUAGCUGCCCUUGCUUUUAGGGAGACUUUCAAAGCUGGAGCUUCAUUAUAUGGCGUGGCUGACUUAAACUUACUUAGAGCUGAAACCCACAAAUUUGAAUCUCGUUACAUUGACAAUCUUGUUGGGGAUGAAAAAACUUACUUCGAAAGGUCACCAAUCAACUUUGUUAACAAAUUUUCUUGUCCAAUCAUCCUUUUCCAGGGAUUAGAGGAUAAGGUUGUGACACCUGAUCAGGCUCGAGUUAUCUAUAAAGCAUUGAAAGAUAAGGGUUUACCUGUUGCUCUUGUGGAGUAUGAAGGUGAACAGCAUGGUUUUCGGAAGGCUGAAAACAUCAAGUUCACUAUUGAGCAACAGCUUGUCUUCUUUGCACGCACAGUAGGGAGCUUUAAAGUAGCUGAUGAUAUCACUCCGAUCAAAAUUGAUAACUUUGAUUAAUCAGCUAGGUCUGUUUGAUAGCACUUUUGGCAGCAUAUCCUACUCAAACACGGCUUAGGGGUGUGCUAAUCAAUGAUGAUGCAGGUGUGCUAAUCAAUGAUGAUGCCAAGAUUCGCUUUCCGUUCUAUACUUGGCAGCAAACAAUUUUUUCUACAAUUUUUCAAGGUUGUACAAUAAUAUAUCCAGCUGAAGAAGGUGAAAACGCCGACCAGAAACUCUUGUUAUGGUGUACUUUUCUAGUCAUAUUUGGUGAUUGUUGGGGCGACAAAAGCGGGUUUUUUACGCCUACAUCGAAAUUACGAGGUGGUGUUAGAAAAGGAGCAAUGUUAAAAUGGUAAUCAGGGAAGCCUUUAGGUGUGGAUGGUGAGCUUCCACAAGGAGAUGAUCUCCCACUGUCGAAAUCAAACUCCUGUGAUUGCAUUUGUGGGAACUCUAUUUCAAAGGACUUUGUGAUUUUGAUGUGCUACAAUUUGUGUCAUAUUUUGUUGGGUUGGGGUAUAUAUAUUGACUCAAUUAAUCCUCAAAUGCUAUUAUUCUACAUUUUUGUGAAUUGUUUAAUGUUGAUGGUGUUGCACUCAAGUAGCAAUAUAUUAAUACUAUGUAUGUAUAUCCUUAAAUUUCAUUUGAAAAAAUAAAUAAAUAUUUAGUGAGGAUGAGGUACAU